UACAGAGGUCUCAAGCGUUGUUCGGAUUCAUUGGGCGUAAGGGUGUGUAGGUGGCGCCGUAAGUCGGGUGUGAAAUUUCGGAGCUUAACUCCGAAACUGCAUUCGAUACUGCGGUGCUUGAGGACUGGAGAGGAGACUGGAAUUCAUGGUGUAGCAGUGAAAAUGCGUAGAGAUCAUGAGGAAGACCAGUGGCGAAGGCUGGGUCUCCGUGGACAGUUCCUGACACUGA
rnacentral:rRNA from 1 species